rnacentral:rRNA from 1 species
GGGUCAGUAGGUUGGUCGUGCCACCGGUACGUACUGGUCUCACUGAUUCCCCCUUCCUGAAGAACCGUAAUGCCAUUAAUUUGGUGUUGCGGGGAAACAGGACUGUUACUUUGAAAAAAUUAGAGUGUUUAAAGCAAGCUAACGCUUGAAUACAUUAGCAUGGAAUAAUGGAAUAGGACGAUCGAUCCUAUUUUGUUGGUUUCUAGGAUUGACGUA